UACAGAGGUCUCAAGCGUUGUUCGGAUUCAUUGGGCGUAAAGGGUGCGUAGGUGGCGCCGUUAGUCGGGUGUGAAAUUUUGGAGCUUAACUCCGAAACUGCAUUCGAUACUGCGGUGCUUGAGGACUGGAGAGGAGACUGGAAUUUACGGUGUAGCAGUGAAAUGCGUAGAGAUCGUAAGGAAGACCAGUGGCGAAGGCGGGUCUCUGGACAGUUCCUGACACUGAGGUGCGAAAGCGUGGGGAGCAAACAGG
rnacentral:rRNA from 1 species